AUAAAAUGGUUCCUAGGUAAAUAUUUAGACUUAAACAUGCUUAUUAGUCUUGGUCAGUCAAUGUUUUUAUCUCUGGGGUUGUUUUCUGACUCAAAACUUAACUAUAGAUUCUUGUAGGUUGUGACAAGGAAGUUAAUAUCCACCAGCAGGAAUGGUCAUUGUCUCUUUCCAAUAGCUGUUUUCUUAAGAAUGGUGCUGGAGAACAUCAUUUCAGUGAUGGACAAAAGUUAUCACACCUACUGCUACAUUACAAAGAAGGAUCUUUAUCAUGAAAAAGCUUUGUACUCUGCCAAAAGCCUUUUCUGCAUCUACUGAGAUAAUCAAGUGAUUUCUGUCCUUGAGUAUGUAAACAUGAUGGAAUAUAAAAAGUAA